rnacentral:rRNA from 1 species
CUACGGGAGGCAGCAGUGGGGAAUAUUGCACAAUGGGGGAAACCCUGAUGCAGCCAUGCCGCGUGUGUGAAGAAGGCCUUCGGGUUGUAAAGCACUUUCAGUUGUGAGGAAAGUUUAGUAGUUAAUACCUGCUAGAUGUGACGUUAGCAACAGAAGAAGCACCGGCUAACUCCGUGCCAGCAGCCGCGGUAAUACGGAGGGUGCGAGCGUUAAUCGGAAUUACUGGGCGUAAAGCGCACGCAGGCGGUCUGUUAAGCUAGAUGUGAAAGCCCCGCGCUCAACGUGGGAGGGUCAUUUAGAACUGGCAGACUAGAGUCUUGGAGAGGGGAGUGGAAUUCCAGGUGUAGCGGUGAAAUGCGUAGAGAUCUGGAGGAACAUCAAUGGCGAAGGCAACUCCCUGGCCAAAGACUGACGCUCAUGUGCGAAAGUGUGGGUAGCGAACAGGAUUAGAUACCCUGGUAGUCCACACCGUAAACGCUGUCUACUAGCUGUUUGUGGAUUUAAUCCGUGAGUAGCGAAGCUAACGCGAUAAGUAGACCGCCUGGGA